AACGAACGCUGGCGGCAUGCCUAACACAUGCAAGUCGAACGGACCCUUCGGGGUUAGUGGCGCACGGGUGCGUAACGCGUGGGAAUCUGCCCUUGGGUACGGAAUAACUCACCGAAAGGUGUGCUAAUACCGUAUGAUGUCUUCGGACCAAAGAUUUAUCGCCCAGGGAUGAGCCCGCGUAGGAUUAGCUAGUUGGUGAGGUAAAGGCUCACCAAGGCGACGAUCCUUAGCUGGUCUGAGAGGAUGAUCAGCCACACUGGGACUGAGACACGGCCCAGACUCCUACGGGAGGCAGCAGUGGGGAAUAUUGGACAAUGGGCGCAAGCCUGAUCCAGCAAUGCCGCGUGAGUGAUGAAGGCCUUAGGGUUGUAAAGCUCUUUUACCCGGGAAGAUAAUGACUGUACCGGGAGAAUAAGCCCCGGCUAACUCCGUGCCAGCCGCCGCAGUAAUAC
rnacentral:rRNA from 1 species